rnacentral:rRNA from 1 species
CCUACGGGAGGCAGCAGUGGGGAAUAUUGGACAAUGGGGGGAACCCUGAUCCAGCCAUGCCGCGUGUGUGAAGAAGGCCCUCGGGUUGUAAAGCACUUUCAGUGAGGAAGAACGCCUGGUGGUUAAUACCCAUCAGGAAAGACAUCACUCACAGAAGAAGCACCGGCUAACUCCGUGCCAGCAGCCGCGGUAAUACGGAGGGUGCGAGCGUUAAUCGGAAUUACUGGGCGUAAAGCGCGCGUAGGUGGCUUGAUAAGCCGGUUGUGAAAGCCCCGGGCUCAACCUGGGAACGGCCUCCGGGACUGUCAAGCUAGAGUGCAGGAGAGGAAGGUAGAAUUCCCGGUGUAGAGGUGAAAUGCGUAGAGAUCGGGAGGAAUACCAGUGGCGAAGGCGGCCCUCUGGACUGACACUGACACUGAGGUGCGAAAGCGUGGGUAGCAAACAGGAUUAGAUACCCUUGUAGUC